GGAGGCUUUGAAGCACGUACGCCAGUAUGUGUGGAGCCGUCCUUGAAAUACCACCCUUGUAGUGUUGAUGUUCUAACGUCGACCCCUUAUCGGGGUUGCGGACAGUGCCUGGUGGGUAGUUUGACUGGGGCGGUCUCCUCCCAAAGAGUAACGGAGGAGCACGAAGGUGGGCUAAUCACGGUUGGACAUCGUGAGGUUAGUGCAAUGGCAUAAGCCCGCUUGACUGCGAGAAUGACAAUUCGAGCAGGUGCGAAAGCAGGUCAUAGUGAUCCGGUGGUUCUGAAUGGAAGGGCCAUCGCUCAACGGAUAAAAGGUACUCCGGGGAUAACAGGCUGAUAC
rnacentral:rRNA from 1 species